AGAGUUUGAUCCUGGCUCAGGACGAACGCUGGCGGUGCGCCUUAUGCAUGCAAGUCGAGCGAAGCUUUUCAGUAGUUUACUACAGAAAAUGACUGAGCGGCGAACGGGUGAGUAACGCGUGAGCAAUCUACCUUAGUUACAGGGAUAGCCCGAGGAAACUCGGAUUAAUACCUGAUAUUCUUUAUAUUUCGCAUGAAAUUAAAAGGAAAGGUCAGCCGAACUAAGAUGAGCUCGCGUUCUAUCAGCUAGUUGGUGAGGUAAAAGCUCACCAAGGCUACGACGGAUAGCUGGUCUGAGAGGACGAUCAGCCACACUGGGACUGAGACACGGCCCAGACUCCUACGGGAGGCUGCAGCAGGGAAUAUUGCGCAAUGAGCGAAAGCUUGACGCAGCGACACCGCGUGUGGGAUGACGGAUCUAGGUUUGUAAACCACUUUCAGGAGGGAAGAAAAUGACGGUACCUCCACAAGAAGCCCCGGCCAACUACGUGCCAGCCGCCGCGGUAAUAC
rnacentral:rRNA from 1 species